rnacentral:rRNA from 1 species
CGUAGACGGUUAUUUAAGUCGGAUGUGAAAGCCCCGGGCUCAACCUGGGAAUUGCAUUCGAGACUGAAUAGCUAGGGUGCGGUAGAGGGAAGCGGAAUUUCCGGUGUAGCGGUGAAAUGCGUAGAUAUCGGAAGGAACAUCAGUGGCGAAAGCGGCUUCCUGGACCAGCACCGACGUUCAGGCACGAAAGCGUGGGGAGCAAACA